UACCGGCGGCUCGAGUGGUGGCCACUAUUACUGGGCUUAAAGCGUUCGUAGCUGGUUUGUUAAGUCUCUGGGGAAAUCUUCCGGCUCAACCGGAAGGCGUCUCAGGGAUACUGGCAGACUAGGGACCGGGAGAGGUGAGGGGUACUCCAGGGGUAGGAGUGAAAUCCUGUAAUCCUUGGGGGACCACCUGUGGCGAAGGCGCCUCACCAGAACGGCUCCGACAGUGAGGGACGAAAGCUGGGGGAGCAAACCGGAUUAGAUACCCGGGUAGUCCCAGCUGUAAACGAUGCGCGUUAGGUGUAUCGGUGACCACGAGUUACCGAGGUGCCGAAGAGAAAUCGUGAAACGUGCCGCCUGGGAAGUACGGUCGCAAGGCUGAAACUUAAAGGAAUUGGCGGGGGAGCACCACAACAGGUGGAGCCUGCGGUUUAAUCGGACUCAACGCCGGGAAACUCACCAGUUAAGACAGCUGAAUGAUAGUCGGGCUGAAGACUCUACUUGACUAGCU
rnacentral:rRNA from 1 species